AUUUAUACGCGCCCGCCGGGAGGAGUCAUGGCAAGAGGGUAAGACCGGCAUGCGCAAGAACAGGCGACAAAAAAGAACGAAGGCAGUUUCAAUUGUGCAUCAAACACAGAUGAGUAGUUAUGAUCGGAUUAGAGCACCUGUGGGAAUAUGGUA
ensembl:ncRNA F35A5.13 ncRNA